UAUCAUUAUUGACAUGCAAUACAGAAUUGAAUUGGCUUGACAACCCUCCUUGCAUGGGCAUGUGUAGUUUUAUGGUCGGUGUAUGAUACCAAUGCAACAAUUCUAAGUAAAUAUGAUGCAUCAGGUUUAUGUUGGUCUUCCACAUGACAUCUCUGUAGGAAUUUUGUAAAAAGUUUAACAAUUCUAAAACAUGAUUUUCAAUACCUUCGGUUGGCGUUGCGAAGUUGUUCAAGUAUUUUGAGAGCUCUGCUUGUCCAUACUGCAUUUGGAUGUAAAAUUUGUUUUUUUAGAAGAGAGGAUAGUUUAUCGUGCGGUGUGAUCUGAGCCCUUAAGUCUUGUGUGGAUGUUCACAUUGCAAAAAUGUUGAGACAGACACCAUUUUCCUGUGGGGUUUUACCUCACAGUUAUGAUUGGCACAUUGAAAUAUUUAGUAUUUUAAUUUAACUUUGCAUCCACAUAAUAAUGCCUCAAGUGGAAAUUCAACUUGCACACAACUUUGUGUUGUACACCACUACCAAAUAGCACACAUGCAGGCAUACAAGGAAAGAUGUCAGAGUAAAAGGGGCACACAGAGUGCUGCACUUCUUGAGCUGCGGGAGUGGAAACUGCCUUGCUCAAAAACACCUCGACAGUAGCCAGGAAGCAAACUAGUGUCUCUCCAACAUCUAGUUGCCGUUGUUACUUAUAUUUGUUGGCAGCAGAACAGUGGCCUGCGGACUCAAAAAUUCUGAGGUACUGAGUUCUCUGCUGUUGUCAGGAACGCAUACGGGGAGGCUGUGGGCACGUUGUGGGUUAUAGAUUAAUACAAUGACAAUGCUACAAUCGUCUGGAUCGUCCAGUUUUUGAUCUUGAGCUCCGAGGGAACUUUCAUCUGGACAUUUAAAAUGAAAAUAGGUUUGACUUUUGAACAUUUUUCUCCAUUCUUUGAAUAUCAUUUAAAUAUUCUGAUCUUCAAUAAAUGUCAUGGUUAGAACAGUGGUCCUCAACCACCGGGCCAUGGGCUGCAGGCUGCUGCGCUCCACACAGAUGAAAGAUUAAGAAACGUGGAGUACCUCUAAUUUAUUUAUUAAUCCAAGGCUGAAAAAUAUUUUACGUUGAAAAGUGACCGGAUACUUUGCGUUACAUCCAUCAAUGAAGGACUCUUGACACCUGUCACGAUGCUAAUCGUCUAGGUCAUGUAACGCUAAUAUUGAACCCGCAAGCAACAUGAGUAAAAAAACGGAAGUGGAUGGAAAGUUUCUUUACAACGGGCAAAAGACCAAGUAAUGACAUAACCACAUGAAUCUUUGACCAAGAAGAAAUGGAAAGGUGUAUUUCACAGUAAAUCGUAGGCGACCUACUACUAGAAUUCCGGAUUUAACACGGCAGGUGAUGCCCGUGCUCCAAGCCCGCUAUGCACAAUAAGCAGUGAGUGGCUCGUAGAUUUAGCGUGGUGAUAGUUAUAUUUGUUCUGUGGUGCUUUUGUUUGUCUGUGCAUUUCUGGUGGGCGCUGCUAAUAUAGUUACAUAAAAAUGUGGCAUAUCUAUUAUCUGCAAAAUGCUCGAGUUGUAGUGUUGCUCAUAUCAUUCAUGCAAUUUGUGGUCCCUAGAGCACAUUUAAACAUUACCAUAGUUACCAUAUUAAAACUGUUGCUCCCCUUGGAUCAGUGGUCGAGUUUGGGGGUCCAAUUCCCGGUCAUUGCGACUUUAUCGAAGUGUCCUUGAGCAAAAUACUGUCCCCCCCCCCCCCCCCCCCCCCCCUCCCACACACACAUUGUUCCUGAUGCGGUGUCAUGAGUUGGUAAAUUAGUAGGACUGUGUAAAGCGCUUUGGGUACCAAAGGUUGAAAAGCGCUAUAUGUGUGACAGCCCAUUAACCAUUUAAUUUCGGUGAAUGGUUGCUGUUCCGCGAACGAUAUUGAUUGACCUAUAGACCAUAGGUAUGGACUUGAUGACUGCAUGCACACGCCUGAAUCAGGAGUAUUAAAAAAAAAAAUCUUUUGGACCAAAUUGUACUUCUGUUGACUGAUUGCAUUAUAAAGGAUGCGCCAAGUAUCCAUAAUAUACAAUAAUAAAUAUUCAUCCUUUCAUUAAUAACCACCCAUCCCCCUCCCCGGCAAGCUAAUUAAGUCUUGACUGAAGGAAGUUGAAGGGGAAUACAUAAAACAAUAAUGUGAUUAACUCAAACACUGCUGUGAAGACUUUUACUGUAUAACACCAGUCAGUUAUCUACUUUUUAAGCCCCGCCAUCUUGAAAUGUGCAGGUUCAAAAUGAAAACUUUGGCAUUAAAGUGAAUCGUACCUGUGGAAAUGAUUGUUGGGUCACACUGUUCUUAGUGAGGGACCUCAGUGUCUUGGGCUCUGAGCCCAAAAAGGCAGACUCCUUUUAAGGUGGCUUGGUUAUCAGCCUAUCUAUCACUUGACUCGGUUAUGUUUGUGGGCAGGCAAAGUCUCACAGCACUCUGGUUUGAACUGCACCUCUCCCAGUUUGUUAAUCUCUCAUCAUCCGAUACCUUAACACUGUAUUCACAGCGUUAAUGGUAAGUACAGCAGUACCAGUCCUCGUUCUGGGAGGCAUUUUGCCUAUAGUGUUGUUUUCAUGCACUAUUUGAAUUUUGUCAUUUGGUAUUAUAAUCUGCCGUUUCAUUUUAUUGAAGAAAUGAAAUAUGACUCUUGUGUCUACCAUGUAACAGUGAAGGGUGCCCUGUCAAAGUGCAAUACCGCUAGCCUGUCUAGAGGUACAUGCUUUGAAAGAGACUUUUAACCACUGAAAUUACAUUUGCAAUUGUGGUACUUUUUGAACAAAGGUUUUGACACAAGUCCCCUGCAUACUUACAUAGUUUCUCACCAGUUUUUCAAUGUCACCAUUGUUCA